rnacentral:rRNA from 1 species
CCUACGGGAGGCAGCAGUGGGGAAUAUUGCACAAUGGGGGAAACCCUGAUGCAGCGACGCCGCGUGAGUGAAGAAGUAUCUCGGUACGUAAAGCUCUAUCAGCAGGGAAGAAAAUGACGGUACCUGACUAAGAAGCGCCGGCUAACUACGUGCCAGCAGCCGCGGUAAUACGUCGGGGGCAAGCGGUAUCCCGAUUUACUGGGUGUAAAGGGAGCGUAGACGGCGGUGCAAGUCUGGAGUGAAGGGCCGGGGCCCAACCCCGGAACUGCGCUUGAAACUGGGAAGCUGGAGUGCAGGAGAGGUAAGCGGAAUUCCUGGUGUAGCGGUGAAAUGCGUAGAUAUCAGGAGGAACACCGGCGGCGAAGGCGGCUUACUGGACUGUAACUGACGUUGAGGCUCGAAGGCGUGGGGAGCAAACAGGAUUAGAUACCCUUGUAGUC